GCAUUUCCUUCGCAUGAGGGAAAUGAGAAAGGCGGAGCAAUCUGCCACUUAUGGAUGGACCUGCGGCGCAUUAGCUAGUUGGUAAGGUAACGGCUUACCAAGGCGACGAUGCGUAGCCGACCUGAGAGGGUGAUCGGCCACACUGGGACUGAGACACGGCCCAGACUCCUACGGGAGGCAGCAGUAGGGAAUCUUCCGCAAUGGACGAAAGUCUGACGGAGCAACGCCGCGUGAGUGAUGAAGGUUUUCGGAUCGUAAAGCUCUGUUGCCAGGGAAGAACGCCUAGGAGAGUAACUGCUCUUAGGGUGACGGUACCUGAGAAGAAAGCCCCGGCUAACUACGUGCCAGCAGCCGCGGUAAUACGUAGGGGGCAAGCGUUAUCCGGAAUUAUUGGGCGUAUAGCGCGCGCAGGCGGCAAUGUAAGUUGGGUGUUUAAACCUAGGGCUCAACCUUGGGUCGCAUCCAAAACUGCAUAGCUUGAGUACAGAAGAGGAAAGUGGAAUUCCACGUGUAGCGGUGAAAUGCGUAGAGAUGUGGAGGACACCAGUGGCGAAGGCGACUUUCUGGGCUGUACUGACGCU
rnacentral:rRNA from 1 species